GCCUCCUUCCUUGUUAGACAGUCAUGAAGCAGACGAGAAAUGUUCAGACUGUCUCUUACAGAGGGAAUGAAACCUCCCGAGAAACUCUGGAAGAAAGAAGAAAGAAAAAUUCUUAACGCUGCAGCAUUCACCUAUAAACAGACCUAUCUUUGACAAGAGCUUGGAGAAUCAUUAUCCGGAGAAUGAUUGUCCAAAUCCUCACUGAUUUGCAGUCUAUCAGCUGUUUGCAGACUCUGGGAUGAUGGUUAAAAAUAGUCAUCUAUUCAGUUGAUCAGACAACAAUCGCCUCUGAGAAAAUGAGGUUCAGUGAGAGGAGAGGUGACUUCAUCACCACCCAGCCUUUGUGAUCAGAACAGGAGCAGAAGUAGGACUGCCAGAAGAUGGAUGUGUCUGGAGACUGACAGAGGAAACUUGUCAACAAAAGCCUUUUGUCAUCAUCAUGGUAUAGUGUUCCUACUAACCUUCUUCAGCUAUUUCCUGUUCCAGGUUCCCAAAAAAGACAUUCAAUGAUGUCAAGAUCAAGGUUUCCAGCUAAUGGACUUUCUCCUGAGCUAUUUGGACUUUGAAAUAGUGAACAUUUGUCUCAAUUUCCCCUAGUGACAUUGGACAUUAUUUUUCUCACCCUGUGAGACCCUGUGUCAGUGACAUGAUUGGAUUUAACAAGUUUUUGUUGAUUGUAAUUAGGUUUUUACAUAGCAUCCUUCCUUACUCCAGGUGUUGUUGCUGCUCAAGCUUUAGCUACGCUUAAUAAGUUGGGAUGCUAGGCAGCCAAGUAGUUAAAUAGAACUUUAAUUAUUUCAUAUCAGAUGCUCACUUAUGUAGAUAGUAUUAGACACAACACACUGUAAAAUAGAGCUGUUAUAGAGUUUUGCUAUUAUCACAUGGGCAUGGAUGUGAGGAUUUUGAAGGAAUGUGUUGUAUGAACCUCUCUGACCAUUCUGCAUCCAUCCGUGGGAAAACUCAGACAAGUACAGGAUAAUAUGAAGAGGUUGACUGCUGGUGACUGGGGGUUGGAUGAAUGGUUUGAGGGAUGGGGAAUCACUGGAUGGUUGAAGGAUAUUACAAAGGGAGCUAUGUUGUUACUGGUAGUCAUUGUUUUGUUGCUUUGUAUUAUUCCAUGCAUUGUGGAGUUGGUGACUCGCUUUAUGAAAAAUACAGUAAAGAGAGUUUGUCUGGAGCAAGAAAAAAGAAAGGAGAAUUGUAGCAAUUCAUCUGUAUUACAGGCCAUUUUGAUGCACCAGCCAAACGGUUUGUAAGUAAUCUUAUCAAGCCACCUGCAGUUUUGUUAUUAGAACCCUCAGGAAUUCGUCAAGGUUACUGAGAAAAACAGGGCUAAAAAUAAGAAGAGCCUGAGAAUCUGAUGACCAAGAAUGCUAAACCUAGAUAAAGGAGGCACAACGUGUUGAUGAACCCUGACCAAUUAGAUGUCCUGAAGGAGAUGUACCUGCCUCUUGAACAAGCAAUUUAGCCAACCCAGAGGUGUGCCCACAUGGACGGGAGACUUAGAAUCUAUAAUUGGAAUUGUAUUGUAAACAAUAAACGGCUUCUGGUGAAAUCAUAUUGGUUCAUCUAUUCAGUUGUCCUUAUCAUCCUGUGUGGGCCUGACAUUGGUCUGAACUUAGGCUUCAGGAUCUGCCAGUGUCUGUGUGAAAGGCAGGUGAGCAACUUUCUCAUGUUAGCCUGAGAAAUCUAAAGGAGGAAUUCAAACAAACCUUGAGAAGUGAGAAACCAUCCGCAGGUGGUGUUUUUCCAACAUGUUUACUGGAAAGAAAUGUUUACUAAAGGGUGUAGAAGCUGAAUAACCAAUAAUGUUCUUUG